GGAUGAACGCUAGCGGCAGGCCUAACACAUGCAAGUCGAGGGGCAGCAUGGCGUAGCGAUACGCUGAUGGCGACCGGCGCACGGGUGCGUAACGCGUAUGCAACCUGUCCGGCGCAGGGGGGUAGCCCGUCGAAAGGCGGGGUAAUCCCGCAUGAACCGGUAUUCCCGCAUGGGGGUGCCGGCAAAGUGGAGACGCGGGGCCGGAGGGGCAUGCGUGCCAUUAGCUGGCUGGUGGGGUAACGGCCCACCAGGGCGAUGAUGGCUAGGGGGUCUGAGAGGAUGGUCCCCCACACUGGUACUGAGACACGGACCAGACUCCUACGGGAGGCAGCAGUGAGGAAUAUUGGUCAAUGGGCGGAAGCCUGAACCAGCCAUGCCGCGUGCAGGAAGGAGGCCCUACGGGUUGUAAACUGCUUUUACCCGGGAAGAAACCGCCCCCUGUGGGGGGCGUUGCCGGUACCGGGGGAAAAAGGAUCGGCUAACUCCGUGCCAGCAGCCGCGGUAAUACGGAGGAUCCGAGCGUUAUCCGGAUUUAUUGGGUUUAAAGGGUGCGUAGGUGGUUUGAUAAGUCAGCGGUGAAAGUUUGCAGCUUAACUGUAAAAAUGCCGUUGAAACUGUCGGACUUGAGUGUAAAUGAGGUAGGCGGAAUGCGUGGUGUAGCGGUGAAAUGCAUAGAUAUCACGCAGAACUCCGAUUGCGAAGGCAGCUUACUAAGCUACAACUGACACUGAAGCACGAAAGCGUGGGGGAUCAAACAGGAUUAGAUACCCUGGUAGUCCACGCAGUAAACGAUGAUUACUAGCUGUUUGCGAUACACAGUAAGCGGCACAGCGAAAGCGUUAAGUAAUCCACCUGGGGAGUACGCCGGCAACGGUGAAACUCAAAGGAAUUGACGGGGGCCCGCACAAGCGGAGGAACAUGUGGUUUAAUUCGAUGAUACGCGAGGAACCUUACCCGGGUUUGAACGUAGGGAGACAGGAGUGGAAACAUUCUAUUCAGCAAUGACUGCCUACGAGGUGCUGCAUGGUUGUCGUCAGCUCGUGCCGUGAGGUGUCGGCUUAAGUGCCAUAACGAGCGCAACCCUUAUUUCCAGUUACUAACAGGUGAUGCUGAGGACUCUGGAGAGACUGCCAGCGUAAGCUGUGAGGAAGGUGGGGAUGACGUCAAAUCAGCACGGCCCUUACAUCCGGGGCGACACACGUGUUACAAUGGUAAGGACAAAGGGCAGCUACCGGGCGACCGGAUGCGAAUCUCUAAACCUUAUCUCAGUUCGGAUCGGAGUCUGCAACUCGACUCCGUGAAGCUGGAUUCGCUAGUAAUCGCGCAUCAGCCAUGGCGCGGUGAAUACGUUCCCGGGCCU
rnacentral:rRNA from 1 species